rfam:Capsicum annuum cultivar Zunla-1 chromosome 2, whole genome shotgun sequence
UACCUGGUUGAUCCUACCAGUAGUCAUAUUCUUUUAUAAAAGAUUAAGCCAUGCAUGUUUAAGUAUAAAAAAAUUAAGAUUGUGAAACUGCAAAUGGCUCAUUAAAUCAGUUAUAGUUUGUUUGAUAGUAUCCACUACACGGAUAACCAUAGUAAUUCUGGAGCUAAUACGUGCAAAAAGCCCUGACUUCUUGAAGGGAUAUAUUUAUUAGAUAAAAGGUCAAUGCGGGCUCUGCCCGUUGUUGUGAUGAUUCAUGAUAACUUGAUGGAUCACACGGCCAUUGCCCCGACGACACAUUAUUUAAAUUUAUGCCCUAUCAACUUUCGAUGCUAGGAUAGUGGCUUACCAUGGAGGUAAUGGGUGAUGGAUAAUUAGGGUUUGAUUCUGGAGAGGGAGCCCGAGAAAUGGCUGCCACAUACAAGUAAGGCAGGAGGUGCGAAAAUAACCCUAUCCUGAUAAGGAAGGUAGUGACAAUAAAUAGUAAUGCCAGUAUCAAUGAGUUUGGUAAUUGGAAUGAGUACAAUCUAAAUCCAUUAAUGAGGAUCUAUUUGAGGGCAAGUUUGGUGCCAGUACCCAUGGUAAUUCCAGCUCCUCUGGCGCUAUUACUUUGAAAAAAUUAGAAUGCUCAAUGCAAGCCCACACUCUGUAUACAUUAGCAUGGGAUAACAUUAUAGGAUUUUUGUCCUAUUACGUUGGCCUUCGGGAUUGGAAUGAUUAAUAUGGACAGUCGGGAGGAUUUGUAUUUCAUAAUUAGAGGUGAAAUUCUUGGAUUUAUGAAAGACAAACAACUGCAAAAGCAUUUGCCAAGGGUGUUUCCAUUAAUCAAGAAUAAAAUUUGGGGGAUCAAAGACGAUCAGAUAUCGUCCUAGUCUCAACCAUAAAUGAUGUUGAUCAAGGAUCGACGUAUGUGGCUUUUAGGACUCCGCUAGUACCUUAUGAGAAAUCAAAGUUUCUGGGUUCCAGGGGGAGUAUGGUCACAAGGCUUAAACUUAAAGGAAUUGAAGGAAGGGCACCACCAGGAGUGGAGCCUGUGACUUAAUUUUACUCAACAUGGGGAAUCUUACUAGGUCCAGACAUAGUAAGGAUUGACAGACUAAGAGCUCUUUCUUGCUUCUAUGGUUGGUGGUGCAUGGCCGUUCUUAGUUGGUGGAGCAAUUUGUCUAGUUAAUUCUGUUAACAAACAAGACCUCAGCCUGCUAACUAGGUAUGCAGAGGUAUCCCUUCGCGGCCAGCUUAUUAGAGGGACUACGACUUUUUAGGACGCGGAUGUUUGAGGUAAUAACAGGUCUGUGAUGCCUUUAGAUGUUCUGGGGCUGCACGCGUACUACACUGAUGUAUUCAAUAAGUAUAUAGCCUUGGCCGAUAGGCCCGGGUAAUCUUUGAAAUUUCAUCAUGAAGUUGAUAGAUCAUUGCAAUUGUUGGUAUUCAACAAGGAAUUCCUAAUAAGCGCACGUCAUCAGCUCGCGUUGACUACAUCCCUGCCCUUAGAACACACCGCUCAUCACUUCUACCGAUUGAAUGAUCUAUUGAAAUGAUCGAAUCAAAGUGACGUAGGCGGUUUGCUGCCUGCGAUGUUGUGAGAAGUGCAUUGAACCUUAUCAGUUAGAGGAAGGAGAAGUCGUAACAAGGUUUUCGUAAGUGAACCUGUGUAAGGAUUAUUG